CCUACGGGUGGCAGCAGUGGGGAAUAUUGGACAAUGGGGGGAACCCUGAUCCAGCCAUGCCGCGUGUGUGAAGAAGGCCCUCGGGUUGUAAAGCACUUUCAGUGAGGAAGAACGCCUGGUGGUUAAUACCCAUCAGGAAAGACAUCACUCACAGAAGAAGCACCGGCUAACUCCGUGCCAGCAGCCGCGGUAAUACGGAGGGUGCGAGCGUUAAUCGGAAUUACUGGGCGUAAAGCGCGCGUAGGUGGCUUGAUAAGCCGGUUGUGAAAGCCCCGGGCUCGACCUGGGAACGGCAUCCGGAACUGUCAAGCUAGAGUGCAGGAGAGGAAGGUAGAAUUCCCGGUGUAGCGGUGAAAUGCGUAGAGAUCGGGAGGAAUACCAGUGGCGAAGGCGGCCUUCUGGACUGACACUGACACUGAGGUGCGAAAGCGUGGGUAGCAAACAGGAUUAGAUACCCCAGUAGUC
rnacentral:rRNA from 1 species